CCAAUAGCGUAUAUUAAAGUUGUUGCAGUUAAAAAGCUCGUAGUUGAACUUCGGGGUCUACCCAUUGGUCAGGCUUAAUUGUCUGCACUGGUGAGAUGGAUCUCUACCUUCUGAGGAACUCUCAUGCCAUUUAUUUGGUGUGGUUGGAAAUCAGGACUGUUACUUUGAAAAAAUUAGAGUGUUUAAAGCAGACUAUCGUCUGAAUACAUUAGCAUGGAAUAAUGAAAUAGGACGGACUGAUUCUAUUUCGUUGGUUUCUAGGAUCACCGUAAUGAUUAAUAGGGAUAGUUGGGGGGAUUAGUAUUCAAUUGUCAGAGGUGAAAUUCUUGGAUUUAUUGAAGAAUAACUACUGCGAAAGCAGUUGCCAAGGAUGUUUUCAUUAAUCAAGAACGAAAGUUAGGGGAUCGAAGACGAUCAGAUACCGUCGUAGUCUUAACCAUAAACUAUGCCGACUAGGGAUCGGACGAAGUUAAUUUUAUGAUGACGCGGGCGGCACAUUACG
rnacentral:rRNA from 1 species